rnacentral:rRNA from 1 species
UACGUAGGGCGCAAGCGUUGUCCGGAAUUAUUGGGCGUAAAGAGCUCGUAGGCGGCUUGUCGCGUCUGUUGUGAAAGCCCGGGGCUUAACCCCGGGUCUGCAGUGGAUACGGGGCAGGCUAGAGGCAGGUAGGGGAGAACGGGAAUUCCCGGUGUAGCGGUGAAAUGUGUAGAGAUCGGGAGGAACACCGGUGGCGAAGGCGGGGUCUCUGGGCAAUUCCUGACGCUGAGGCGCGAAAGCGUGGGGAGCAAACGGG